UGGGUAGUACGAUCGCCAAGAUUAAAACCUCAAAGGAAUAGACGGGGGCUCGCACAAGCAGUGGAUCAUGUGGCUUAAUUCGUCGAUAAGCGAAAAACCUUACCAAGGCUAGAAACUAUACUGCACGCCCGGGGAAACCCGGGAAGCCUUCGAGGGUGUAUAGCAGGUGAUGCAUGGCCCGUCGUCAGUUCGUGGCUUGAGCUGUUCCCUUAAGUGGGGAAACGAACGCAACCCUCGUUGCCUGUUACAAGUGUCAGGCGAGACUGCUCCCUCACGGGAGAGGAAGGUGAGGAUGACGCCAGGUCAGCAUGUCCCUUGAUGCCUUGGGCUGCACACGUGAUACAAUGGGUGGUACAACGGGACGCAAUGUGGUAACACGGAGCAAAUCCUAAUAAAACCAUCCUCAGUUCGGAUUGAGGGCUGCAACUCGCCCUCAUGAAGCUGGAAUUGCUAGUAAUCGCGGAUCAGCAUCGCCGCGGUGAAUACGUUCCCGAGCCUUGUACUCACCGCCCGUCAAGUCAGGGGAGUCGGGAGUACCCGAAGUCCCACCUCGUGUGGUCGACGGUAAAUUGGAGAGAGAGAACUAAGUCGUAACUAUGUCUCUGUAAAUCGAUAGACAGA
rnacentral:rRNA from 1 species